rnacentral:tRNA from 1 species
CCCUGGCUGGCUCAGUCGGUGGAGCAUGAGACUCUUGAUCUUGGGGUUGUGAGUUCGAGCCCCACGUUGGGUG